GGAUUAGAUACCCGGGUAGUCCACGCCGUAAACGAUGGAUACUAGCUGUUCGGAAGCAAUUCUGAGUGGCUAAGCGAAAGUGAUAAGUAUCCCACCUGGGGAGUACGAACGCAAGUUUGAAACUCAAAGGAAUUGACGGGGGCCCGCACAAGCGGUGGAGCAUGUGGUUUAAUUCGAUGAUACGCGAGGAACCUUACCAGGGCUUAAAUGUAGGUUGACAGGCUUGGAAACAGGUUUUUCUUCGGACAACUUACAAGGUGCUGCAUGGUUGUCGUCAGCUCGUGCCGUGGG
rnacentral:rRNA from 1 species